rnacentral:rRNA from 1 species
GUGGGGAAUAUUGGACAAUGGGGGGAACCCUGAUCCAGCCAUGCCGCGUGUGUGAAGAAGGUCUUCGGAUUGUAAAGCACUUUAAGUUGGGAGGAAGGGUAGUAACCUAAUACGUUGCUACUUUGACGUUACCGACAGAAUAAGCACCGGCUAACUUCGUGCCAGCAGCCGCGGUAAUACGAAGGGUGCAAGCGUUAAUCGGAAUUACUGGGCGUAAAGCGCGCGUAGGUGGUUCAGUAAGUUGGAAGUGAAAUCCCCGGGCUCAACCUGGGAACUGCUUUCAAAACUGCUGAGCUAGAGUACGGUAGAGGGUGGUGGAAUUUCCUGUGUAGCGGUGAAAUGCGUAGAUAUAGGAAGGAACACCAGUGGCGAAGGCGACCACCUGGACUGAUACUGACACUGAGGUGCGAAAGCGUGGGGAGCAAACAGGAUUAGAUACCCGGGUAGUCC